CAUCAAGGUGAGGAUUGGUACUUCAGAUACACAGAAGAUGAUCACAAAAAUUCAGACUACAAUUAUCUGAUUGAUG